UUAACCCAAACUCACUUGGAUUAGCAGUCACAAUACUCAGGCCUUGGUCCCUGAGAGCCUGGAGUGCCUUCCUUCUUGAAUUCUUAAUGUUCAGAUUGAUAAAUUUCUCUGCAUUUGUGUGUUUGGUUGUGGAAACUGCUAUAGCAUCUCUUUUGAGAUCUAAAGUGUUCUCAAGACUCUUCUCCUUUGACCAUCACCCUCAAUGUGGAGCAGACUUUCCUUCACUGUAUUAAUUAAGAAGAACGGAAACAACAGAAGAAAGAGAAUUUUUCGAUUUUAAACUAGAAAAAAAGUGGUAACUUCAAAAAAAAUCAAGGCUUUAUCUGGAGAAUACAUAUUUGAGAAAAUUAAAGCCACUUAAAUUAAGAACAACACAAAUAAUAUAUGAUAAAACAACAAAAGCAGCAUACAUAAACAUUUUGUGACAUUUCCCACCACCCCUGAAAAACUGAAGUGGCUUAUUAAAGAUGCUUGAUUCUCAAGUUAGCUGUAUUUCUCAUGUGUUGCUGGCUCUGUAGGUCAUAAGAGUUAAUUUCUCCAAAUUAUCGGUUAACAAAACGAGCCAAGUCAAGAACAGACAGUGGAAAGAAAAAACUUUAGACAUAAAUUACAUUGUGCACAGCAAGAGUGUUCCCAAAGAAUGGCAAUGAACUCCACACAGGAGCAUUAAGUAACAGGAAAUAUCUGUGGAGUUGGUGAUAACAACAACUUCAUUAUUCAUAUUGAAAGACAUACUUGUUCUGGAAAGUGAUUGACUUCAAUUUAGACAAACAAGCCCCUCAGCUGAGGAUGAAGAAGUAAAUGGAGCACCAGUUUCUAUGACUUGGGAAGAAAGAGCAGGAGAGAGGCUGCUUUAUGAGUCAGUUCACGUUUGGCAACAUCUGGUUGUGUCUCAUCACAUUGCAAAUUUAUGACCCUGGAAACAACAUGUUGAUGUUGAUGAUCCUUUACGAAGAGAAGCCUGAACUAUAAGCUUAUGACCAGAACAGUGGCAAGAGGCUGUGGCUGCGUUCUCUGAUCUGACAAAUCCCUGGCUUGGGUCAAACAGAUAAAGACUUGGACUGCUGGCCCUUCCUAAACAAUGUCAUGGAUAAAUAUUGAGUGAAGAGGACCAGCUGACAGAAGAGCAGAAGGUUAUGAGGAAGUUAAGGCCUGGCUUCCCCCAGGAAAAGCGUAGUGAGAUUUAGCAGAGGCCACACUGCACAGAAGUCAGGAAGUGAAGACCUAUCACGAGUCAAAUCUCCAAUAUUUAACUCCCACAAUGGCAAAUUCAUCAAAUUACAAGGCAAAACUAUUCUCUGAAAAUAUUGGGGUUUGCUUUUAGAUAAGUCUGAAACUCUGAGAACCAAAGGCAUACCGUGUGUAUGUGUUAUAAUAACUUUAGGCUUCUCAUCACAACCAUGUUACAAGAUAAGAUAUAUUUCAGCUCACAAGCACUAUGUUUUUAACAGCAAUAGACAAGUUCCUGUCCAUGAAGAAUUCACCUUUGAGAAAUUCAUUCUCUCAAAUGAAACGGAAGACUAAAAAUUUCUCUUAAAAUACAUUAAAAAUGUACCUCAAUAUUUGCUUGACAAUGUAAGCAAUGGAAGAAUGAUUGUAUUUCUGCAUAUUAUAUUUAAAUGUCUUAUUUUUAAGACUGCUGGUAAAAGAAAGCAGAAUAAAGUGUUUGUUCUAUACCAUUCCCUGAAACUGGCACCACAGAAGUAAAAACAUUUUUUUUUUUAAGAGAAAAUUCUACUUCCCACAAAGAUAAGAAAAUCUGCCAAACAGAGUAAAAACUGUACAUUUAGACAUGUUGUGAAAUAACACAUACUACUCCAGAUCUCAUUC